CCUACGGGAGGCAGCAGUGGGGAAUAUUGCACAAUGGGGGAAACCCUGAUGCAGCGACGCCGCGUGAGUGAAGAAGUAAUUCGUUAUGUAAAGCUCUAUCAGCAGGGAAGAAAAUGAAGGUACCUGAGUAAGAAGCCCCGGCUAACUACGUGCCAGCAGCCGCGGUAAUACGUAGGGGGCAAGCGUUAUCCGGAUUUACUGGGUGUAAAGGGAGCGUAGACGGCAGGGCAAGUCUGGAGUGAAAGGCGGGGGCGCAACCCCCGGACUUCUCUGGAAACGGUACGGCUGGAGUGCAGGUGAGGUAAGUGGAAUUCCUAGUGUAGCGGUGAAAUGCGUAGAUAUUAGGAGGAACACCAGUGGCGAAGGCGGCUUACUGGACUGUAACUGACGUUGAGGCUCGAAAGCGUGGGGAGCAAACAGGAUUAGAUACCCCUGUAGUC
rnacentral:rRNA from 1 species